rnacentral:rRNA from 1 species
GAUGAACGCUGGCGGCGUGCCUAAUACAUGCAAGUCGAGCGAACGGACGAGAAGCUUGCUUCUCUGAUGUUAGCGGCGGACGGGUGAGUAACACGUGGAUAACCUACCUAUAAGACUGGGAUAACUUCGGGAAACCGGAGCUAAUACCGGAUAAUAUUUUGAACCGCAUGGUUCAAAAGUAAAAGACGGUCUUGCUGUCACUUAUAGAUGGAUCCGCGCUGCAUUAGCUAGUUGGUAAGGUAACGGCUUACCAAGGCAACGAUGCAUAGCCGACCUGAGAGGGUGAUCGGCCACACUGGAACUGAGACACGGUCCAGACUCCUACGGGAGGCAGCAGUAGGGAAUCUUCCGCAAUGGGCGAAAGCCUGACGGAACAACGCCGCGUGAGUGAUGAAGGUCUUCGGAUCGUAAAACUCUGUUAUUAGGGAAGAACAUAUGUGUAAGUAACUGUGCACAUCUUGACGGUACCUAAUCAGAAAGCCACGGCUAACUACGUG